rnacentral:rRNA from 1 species
AUGUCUUUGUCGUCGUUUUGUGCCGUGAGUGGCACGCGGGAGUGCGGGUUUGUCCCGUGCAUCGAUCGCGCCCAUCCGCCGUGGCUUUUGGUCGCCGGUGUUUCCUCCGACGAGCUCGCCCGCUGUCCUGCUCGCACGCACCGUUAUGUUCCUCUGUUCUCGCACAUGCCCGCUGGCUGCAUUGCUCUUGCCGCCCUUGCUGCACCUUCGCUGCCACCCCUCCAUGCACACGCGCACCCUCACCUAUUUCCGCACCCCCGCCGGCGCUUGGUAGCUGCAGCACGCGCCGUCUGUUGUUACUGUCGCCGGUGA